rnacentral:rRNA from 1 species
AUACGGAGGGUCCAAGCGUUAUCCGGAUUCAUUGGGUUUAAAGGGUUCGCAGGCGGCGUAUUAAGUCAGUGGUGAAAUCCCGAGGCUCAACCUCGGAACUGCCAUUGAUACUGGUAUGCUAGAGUAUAGUUGGCGUUGGCGGAAUGUAUCAUGUAGCGGUGAAAUGCUUAGAUAUGAUACAGAACACCGAUCGCGAAGGCAGCUAACGAAACUAUAACUGACGCUCAGGAACGAAAGCGUGGGGAGCGAACAGGAUUAGAAACCCCAGUAGUCC